rnacentral:rRNA from 1 species
UACGUAGGGGGCAAGCGUUGUCCGGAAUCAUUGGGCGUAAAGAGCGUGUAGGCGGCUUGGUAAGUCCGCUGUGAAAGUCCAGGGCUCAACCCUGGAAUGCCGGUGGAAACUGUCAAGCUUGAGUCCGGAAGAGGCGAGUGGAAUUCCUGGUGUAGCGGUGAAAUGCGCAGAUAUCAGGAAGAACACCCGUGGCGAAGGCGGCUCUCUGGGACGGUACUGACGCUGAGACGCGAAAGCGUGGGGAGCGAACAGG